rfam:Schistosoma margrebowiei strain Zambia genome assembly, scaffold: SMRZ_contig0003474
GCACUGCUGAGGAGUCCCAUACCAGCACGAAACGGCCGUCCAGUGC